UUUGUGGGUUUUUUUUUCAUCUUCAAAAUACCACUGCCCUUUUCUCACCCAUACAGGAUAACAUCUAAAAUUUUAUUUCUAUGCUCAUAGCUUUAUUGAGCAAAUACUAAAUGUGAGCAUGAAUGGGGGCUCCCCCUUUUCUUCCAGGUAACAGAACUCGUUGAGUGAUGGCUUUUGGGACACACAACUUCACAAUGACUGCUUCGAGCUGGUGAGACAAAGGACAGAUGUGAAAGCUCUUUGCAGUGCCCGUGGUUUGCAGAUGAUUCCUCUUUCAUCCCACCUAAGGUGAAACUAUGUCAGCUUCAAAACAUUGCAGGUCCAGCCAAUUCAUUGCACAGAUCGCCAGAUUCUUCCUGUCACCAGGUGGUACCCAUGGCACGGAUGCGUCAUAGUUAACCAUUCACCCACUGAAGGACAUUUGGAAUAGAAGCUCCAGGAGUUCAGAGGUUCGUGGCUCUUUCAUCGAUUGCACUCAAGGUCGCCUAGCGCUCCGAGUGCCUGGUAGGUAUUCGGUGAGUAUUUCUUAAAAGAGUGAUUUUCUUUCUUCCCACCUGAUAGAGCACCAUGUACGCUGUAGGCAUAUAAUACAUACUUUUAAUUGAACUUUGACUCUGAAAAAGGCUCCUGUAUCACAAAUGAUACAGGAGCAAACAGAAGCAUAAGAAAGCGCCUCACCCUGGAGUCACGGAAGACCAGUUACUGAACCAAAGCAAAAAGCAUCUUGUCCCAGGGGAACUUUAUUCCCCGGGGAAAUCUUUAUGUGCACCGGCCUUACCCAUUUGUCCACUGCCCCGUCCACCCCACGAACAGUAUAAAAGCCUGGGUGCUAAACUGACCAGGCUGGGGCCAGGGGCCGGUGGAGCAGGUAAAGGGCAAGACAGCGGCAUAGGAAAUCCCUCGGUUAGGUAAUGUGGGAUGUGUGUGUGCAAAGUGGCUCCAAGUCACAGGAAAAGAUCACCACCCAACGCCCAAGAAACGGGUCAGAGAUAAGAUGUUGAGUCUAAGCACAUUUCUAAGGGAGAUGAGGCGGCAGAUACAGUUGGUUCCGAGAUCAAGCAUGGAGCAAAAAUGGGAACAGCAAGGAGCAGAGGAAGAGACAGAGCUAGGUCAGCAGGAUGGCUUUGAGCUUCACCACGGGAAAGACCCGGAUCGAUCCCCAAACCUCUUGUGAGGGCCGUGCUAGUCGUGUGUGCUGGGACUGAAUAUGUCUAGUUUAAGGACAUGAUGCAGGCCAGACCUCUGCAUUUCCUCUGUAGGAAGGCCUCUGUAUUUUCCUGCAGAAGCAGAGUGACAACGCUCCAUCCUCUACUGGGGACUGGUUAAAGCGCCCUCGUGUGGUGCUUCAUUGUAACAACACUUCCAUUCUCCCCCAGGGCACACUGUCGCCCUACAUCAGGGACCCGACCUGCAGAGUCUGGGAACUGAGAUGCAAAUCCUCCGUCCCACGCCCGGAUCUCCUGAAUCAGAAACUCAAGGAGGUAGGUCUGGGAAUCCGUGUUUUAACAAGUUCUCUGCUAACGUUUGAGAACCACUGUUCGAAAUAAGUGGCAUGAAAAGAGAGGACGACGGGUUAGGAGACAGAGGCCGGCAGGGCGGGUGCUCUACCUGAGCGCAGACGUGGGGACCCAGUGGCUGGGGUGGAUCCCAUCAGAGCGGGCGGCAGGGACAGAGGAUCAGAGGGGAGAAACUGCUGGAAAAGCCAGGCCAGGGUGGCUGGGUGUAAUCACAGCUUCAUCUGCGAAGUCUUUGAUUUAUGGCUAUUUUAAAGCUGGUCCUUACAUGGUGACCAUGUGUCUCUAGUUAUACUGGAAAUUCCUUAAAUACAAGAACCAGACUUCAUGUUUUUUUAAAAAAAUAACUCACCCUGGCACCUUUAACAGUGCCAGAAACCGAGCUGAUUCUUAAUAAAUACAUGAAUAAAGACAAAGCUCAAGAGUGGGCAAAGCUUGGGUGGAGGGAACGAAUGAAGGAUUUAUUUUUAUCAUUUUAGCUUUCUAUUCCUGGGCGACGUUUAGCCAGAGAUGUCUGAAAGCCAAUUAACACCUUAGAAAAUUCUGCAAAUGAAAAGUUGGUGGGAAUAUCAUUUUUAAUGACAUUACCAAACUUUUCAGAAGUCAAACUCAGCAUGAUGAAAUUUCGGAGCUUUUCUUGAUGGGACGCAGUUAAAUCAGUUAACAUGUCAAACAAGCGCCGUUUGCUAAACUUGAGGAUUUAAGAGGCUUGAGAAAAGUAGUAGUAGAGGAAAAGUAGUCAUAGAAGUCGAGUCUGUACCCAACUUUUCAAAUUUCUCCUCGUGAUGCUAAGAAACCGAGUUGGAAUAAAAACUGGAAUAAAACCAAAUGAAAACAAAUAGACAACUUGACAAACAUAAUGUUAAUGUCUUGAAGGAAGACACGCAAUAUGUUUGUGACAACUGCCAUCAGCUCGACUUUCCCCUCAAAGAAGAAAGGAAGUGGCAUUUGUUCAGGCUGCCAUAUCAAAGUCCCGCAGGCUGCGGGGAUUACACACAACAGACAUUUAUUUUUUCACUAUGCAAGACCAAGUGUGGGCACAGGGUUGGUUUCUUUUCAGGCCUCUCCCCCUGGCUUGUGGAUGGCUUUCUUCUUCUGGUGUCUUUGCGUGGUCUUUGUACAUGUCUGUGUCUGAAUUUGCUCUUCUUAUAAAGACACCAGUCAUAUUGGAUUAGCACCCACCCUAAAGACUUCGUUUUAACUUAAUCACCUCUUUAAAGGUCCUAUCUCCAAAAAUAUAGCCAUGGCUCUCAAGUAUUGGGAGUUAGGACUUCAACAUGGGGAUCUGACAGAGGCAGACACAAUUCAGCCCAUAACAGUCCUUUAGAGAGUGACACAUUCUCCCAAGAAACUAAAGACCAGCAUGGGUGCUGCCUCCGGGGGUCACCUGCAUUCCUAGCUGAAAAGUCUUGUCCCAUGGAGCUCCAGACGGGACCUUGACCCUAGCCUUGCUAAGUCUCAACCCCACAUUGGAGCGAACUUGAGAAAUCUGGACUGGAGUGGACCAGGAACCCUCACCAACUCCUUUGCCUAAGGAGACAGAUGUCUAGUCUCUAGCAAUGUAGAAUACGCCUUUCUGUGUUCUUAAACUCCACCUAAAGUAGGGGAAACUGCCAGAAAUCUCAGUUUCUGGUUCUCAGCAGCCUUCUGAAGGCCACUGCUAGCAUGAGAACAAACACCAAGGUUGAAGUUCUACUUGGGUGUAUGGCGUAAGAUUCGCUUGCAUCUUAAUUUUAUUUCUAGUAUUUCAUAGAAUAUUCUUUAAAAUCUGGUGCAAAAAAUGUAGGAGUGCUCAUAUGGAGUUAAAAUAAACAUAAAGGAUCUUAUUUGUAAGUUAGCUUUUUAAAAACAAAUUAACUUGGCAAGAAAUUUUUCAUUGAAAAAAAUGGUGUGUGCAAUGAAUUUUGCAUUUGCCAAAACAGGAAGGCAGAGUGAACAGAUUUUAAGAAAGAGUUUUCAUGGCAAAGGGAAACCAAAGAGACUGAUAAACUAAAUCUUUUCCCUCAGAAGUAGUUCAGGCAAUGUUUCUUAAUGUCUCAUCUUUUAUCCCAACCCAACCACUGCAGAGUAUCUGAGGGUAGACUUCCAAUCUCAUUCCUGGAGAGACUGUACAGUAGUAGCUAGUGUUAUUAGAACACAUUAAAAUUUUGGAAUUUUGUCACUGUAGGAGAGAUUCUUUUUGCCAUUCUCUUUAGCCAAUAAAGUCUUCAAUAAUCACCUGGCCUUCAAAUAUUCAUGGCCAACUGAACUUACGAACCCAGCUAAGACAAUUAAUAGCAAAGGGUCAAUCACUUGAGGGCUAAAUUAUUAUCACAACUAUAUCCCUGGGGCCGAGCGAGGUGGCUUACUCCUGUCAUCCUAGCACUCUGGGAGGCUGAGGCAGGUGGAUCGUUCAAGCUCAGGAGUUCAAGACCAGCCUGAGC